rnacentral:lncRNA from 1 species
CAAUUCCAGAUCACUCUGGUGUUUGUGGGCUUCAAGACCUGGACUCCUCACUGGUUUUGAAGAGGAAAACUGAGGUUGAGAGGAAAGUCAAAGACAAAUGUCAAGUUUCCAGUCAACGAGCAAGGUCAACAUGGGCUUUUGGAGGAGGAGGCCUAACCAGGAAUUCUGCCCAGGAAUCACUCAGAGAAAAAGACAAGCCUGCCUUUAUUAUUGCCAAAUAAAAAUCCAGCGGACUGACUUCAAUGGAAUUAAAGUGUGCAAGAGAUGCACUUGAAGACACAGAUUUAAAUCCUUGUUCGUGUAACUUGUUCAUGUGAUUCAAAGUGGUAACUACAACACACAAAAAGAUUGAUUGAUGAUUGAUUGUGUGAAGGGUUUAUUUGGCAGUCCAGGGAUAAGCAUGCCACAGCAUUUUCACAUUUGUCUGCUAUGUAAGCAGUGCUUCUCACCAGGCUGAAGGAUCAUGUUUCUUGCUUUUUUUUUUUUUCUGUCUUUAAAUUUCCAAUAUGUCAUAGACCAGUAGUUUUGUAAAAAUACAACCAAAUUGAAAUACUAGAAAAAAAUAAAGCAAAUUCAUACAAUGUAUAAACCCCAAUUUUUAGGAUUGCUGGAUUAAUAGAUAUAAAAUUACUCUGUACAAUUGCUGUGCAAGUCCAAAUGCUUAUUCUUAAUUGCUGUAAACAAACAAUCCACAGAGCUGCAUUCGUCUACUUUUUUUUUUUUUUAAUGGCCACACCCAAACCUAUGGAAGUUCCUGGGCCAGGGAUUGAAUCUGAGUCUCUGAAGCAACCAGUGGAUCCUUAACCUCCUGUGCCAUAGAAGGAACCCUUCACUGGUCUACUUUCCGUAAUCUGAGGAAUACUGGUGGAAAGUAUUCAACAGUAACAACAAAGCAAAAUUUUAAAGAGUAGUUUUAGGAUCUGUGUUGAACAGAGCCAUGUGUGAUCUAAGGCAAAUAGAAAUUAUAUCCAUGUAUAUGGUUGAUGAAAAGAUAAAAAACCAUUCUAGUGAAACACGAAACAUUAAAGUCAAUGAAGUCAAGAACCACCUGAUGCCAAAACAUUCUUAAAGUCACCAUGGGAGGAGAAAUUUUAAAAAGUCAGUUAUAAUUGCAUUCACACUUUUAAGAAGUGGGACUUCAGUUCAAUGAAAAUAAUUCUUUGUUGACUGGCCAGUUAGGAAAUUAGUCAUUGCCUGCGACACAUUUCCAAUUGGUUCCUCUGAUUCUUAUUUUAUUCUACAUGAGAGGAAGGAAAACAAAACACAGCUGCCAAUUUACCAUAAUUUAAGAUAUCUCAGUAUAGGAAAAUCCCAAAUGUACUCCCUAAAAGAUCAUUUAGAUUAUAACAUAUUUUGGAGAGUUCCUAAUAUAGUUAAUUUCUGCUAGUGUACUUGGGCAGUGGUUUUAAUCAUCAAACAGUUGACAGAGUUAGAAGUCGAAGAGCCUAGGAGUAGAAAUGGGAGAGAAUGUCAAUUUAAUGAACCCAUAGCACUUACGAUGUCCCAGGCCCUGUUCUAAAGGCUUUCCAAAAAUUAGCCCACUAAAGCCUCAUGUCAACCUGUGAGGCAAACUCCAUUUUUAUCUUCAUUGUAUAGAUGAAGAAACUAAAGCUCAGAGAAGGAAAUGAUUAUAGUAGCAAGUAGGUGGCAGAGGCAAGAUUUGAAACCAGGUAGUCUGGUUUUAGGUCAUACUCUCAUUCCAAACCUAACGGGCAUCUUUUUUUUUUUUUUUUUCCCCCCUCAUUUUAGUGUGGCACCUGCAGCACAUGGAAGUUCCCAGGCUAGGGUCGAAUCAGAGAUCAUUCUGAUUUACAUAAAACGUUCUCAUGAACAUAUUAGAUUUAUAGAUCAAGGCACAGAGGAGAAACCAUAGAUUUAUACUCAGAUCACUGAAGAUUCACCGAAUAUCCAUUCGCCUCCUUUUAAAAAAACAACUUCUCUCAGUAUCCUUUCUAAGUAAGAUAACUACAGUAAUGUGAGGACCACUCAGUUGCCUUUACAUACUUUCCUUUGCAAAUAUUCACCUUAAAUUGGUCCUUUCUAGGAGAAAACAACCCCAGCUCCAGCACUUAUAGGUGGGUCAUUAUAUAUACUCCAUAAGAGCUUACGAAAGGAUCAAAGGUCUCCGAGUCUGUAGGCAACAGAACCUUAUGAGCAUUUCCAGAGUCCAGAGGGGUAUUGAUUUGCCAUAUUUAAAUCAAAACCUACAUGUAUGUAAGUACAAUUAUGAAGGAGAUAUUCCCAAAAGGGAAAAAAAAAGGGAGGAAAGAAGAUGUAUCCAGACAACAAUUAGAGUAGAAUCCUGUUGGCCUCAAAACUUAACGAAGGCAUCACUGGAACAGAAUAUGGCCCCCACAGUGUUUAUACCAUUCCUGGAAUAGAAAAACUAACAGAUGAUGAUGAAAACAUAACAGGGAAUUGUCAUUUGAAAAAAAUUGUGGGAACACUAUGGAGGUAAAAAUAUUAGACCCUCCAUUCAUAUCAGAAACCAAAAUAAAUACCAGACAGAUUGAAGAACUAAAUAUAAAAAGUGAAGUCGUAGAAAAUUAGAGGAAAACUGUGGGGAGGCAAAUCUUUAUUUUGAUCAUUUCUCUGUUUUCAAGUAAAAGCAAUCAUAAAGGAAAAUUUUAAGUGAGCAAUCUUUAAAAAUAUGAAUAAAAGUUUUGCAUGUUUGAGUCCAUAAAAAUCCAUUUGUCUAAAACAUCAUAUAUAACAUUAGAAUAUGAAAGAUGAGAAAUAUAUUUGUAUCAGAAACAGCAAAACUCUAUAGAUACAAUCAUUGUAAAUGUGGGCAAAUGCCCAAACCAGAAAAUGUGCAGAAGAAGGAAUUCAAAUGAAAAUAGGUAUAUAAAAUCUUUGUAGGAAUCAAAGAAAUAUGAGUCAAAAUGAAAUACAGUGUUUUACUCAUCAAAUUGGUGAAUGCUUUUGAAUGACUAUAUGUGUAAUGGCUGAAUAAGUACAAUUUUAAUGGGCCCACUCACAUGGCUGGUGAAUGCUUAAAUUGUUGUCCAGAAAGCAAUUUGGAAUUCUGCGUCGAAAAUUAAAAAUAUAUUCCUACCACUUGACUCAGGAACUUCACUUCUAAAUGUUAUUUUUAAGAUUUAUGUGGAAGGAUAUUCCUUGUAGUACUAAUUAUAUUAAUGAGCUCUUGGAGGUAACCUAAAUGUCCAAUGAUUUAAGGUGGACUAAAAAUACAUAUGCAUGCAAUGUUAAAACUAUAAGCUGGUAGAUUAUGAAGCCAUUAAAACCAUGUUUUAGCGGAAUGCCUUUGAAAAAUUGUCAAAAUAUAGUAAGAGAAAAAAGGAGGGCAUAACAUGUUCUAUAUAAUGUAGUAUCAAUACUUUGUUUUGCCCCCCGAGACGGUAAACGCAAUUGCCCACAGUUCGCAGAGGGAUCAUAGUGAAUAAAGCUGACCAGGAAGACCUCUGUGAAAAUGCAACAAUCUUUCUUUCGCCAAGCUUCUAGAAACCUUCAGCCUUCUUGGUCUAACUUCCUAUUUUGCAAUUCUGUUUCCUCCCCUCGCCACCCGAGUUUCUGUUUUCUCACACUUGUUGGGAGACAAAGCACAGGAAGAUACACCUCUGCUGUAAGAACGUGUAAUUACAGGUGAUGGAAAUUCUGCACCCAUUAAGGAAGAGCGCGCAGAGAGGGGAGUGUGGCUAGCUGGAGCGAGGAAACCGCUGAGGGUAGGAGUCUCACCCAAUCUGUUCUUGCCAUGGCAGAGUGGAGCCUACUGUCAGGUCUUGCGCUUUAUUUGAUUUAAGAUUAUGCGCACUCACACAGUGUACACACACUGUGUAGACCACACAAAACACAUUGAGAAGCUUUAGGUUUGUGACUUCCAGCAUUCCAUACUUAUGUAUAGAAAUGCAAAAGCUGGAAAUACACAAAAAUGCAAUUAUUAGCAUAAUUUCAAUCAUUUUAAUUCUAUGUUCUUCAUACCCUAUUUCCUGAGUUCUCUCCAUAGAUUUCUUGUCAUAAUCAGUAAACUAUGACCUCUCUGUGUUCUUUUAUUGAUUUAGUACUCCUUUUUGGAGAUAACAGCUUUGAAAAAUUUUGAAGUUGUGUCUCUGAUCUUAUAUGUCUAAAUAUGUCCGCAUAGCUAUAUGGUUAUAGAUCAUGUUUUUAUUUAUGAAAUCAUUAUUUCUAAGCUGCCAGAAACUUCUUCCAAAAACAGGUCUAAAAAAUUGUCUCAUUUUUCACUCCCUUGGGGCAUACUCUAAUCAUUUUGGGCAUAAUUUCAACUGCAUUUUCCUUUUCUCCUUCAAAUCAUACCCACCCUUUUCAAUUACAGCUAGGCGAGGUUUGGCUUUUUGUUGUUGUCGUUUUGCCACGUCCCUGGUAUGUGGAAGUUCCAGGAUAGAGGCUGAACCCACACCCCAGCAAAGACCAUCCACAGUGACAACAACAGAUCCUUGACCUGCGGAGCCACCAGGGAACACCCAGCUAGGUGAUGCUAAGUAAUUUUCUAAUCUAGUGGGAGGCACCACCGAUGGUCCAAUGUUAGCAGUUUACUGGCCAAAGGGUCUUUUAUUAUUUCUUCUGUCACUGUUUGGAAAGGCGUGGCUUUUGAAACAGAAAGGAAGGCUUUAAGGUUUUCAGCACUGCCCUGCCAUCUCUCAACACAGCCUCUGGGGAGAGUCACCUUACAAAAGGGGAUUAAAAAGAGAAAAAAGAAAGUAGCCAGGUAGUUCAGCAUUCAAUCUAGGAAAAAAGAAUGUAACAGGCUUAGCUGAUUGAGGGUUAUGAUAAAAUGACUAGUGAAAACUACAAAGCCCUCUCUUUGUACAAGGACAAAGAACGCUUUUCACGAAGCUCCAAACAAAUUAAUUACAGACUCACUACUGCACACACACUACGAUUUUUAUACACCUCCCCCUCUGAGUGUCCUAUGCUUAAAGGGUGAUGCUUCUUGGAAACAAGCUUGUUGGACCAUUUGUCUUGUUUAU